rnacentral:lncRNA from 1 species
CUAGCCAACAUGGUGAAACCCCGUCUCUACUAAAAAUACAAAAAUGGGGCCUGCAGCAGCAGUUGAGAACGCCCCCAGGGCCGCUGGGCUCCUCCAGGACACACCUGGGGGAAACAAUCAAGUGCCAAGGGGAGCCUGGAAGAGAACAGGUGAGACGUCUGGAGUCCCACAGUGGGAAAAUAGAACAGGAGAAAGCUUCUCUUGAAGUGCUCACUGUACAUCAGGAACACUGCUCCCAUGACAGUGCCCUCGGGGUGGGAGGGGGUGCUGCAUUUCUGGCGACAGAGGGUGAGAGAUUGUAACUCAUAGUGGCCUCACAGGGCGAGGAGGGUCC